rnacentral:lncRNA from 12 species
GGAAGAUACAAGAGGAAGGGGAUUUACAUGACAACUCUUCCAUUGCUGUCAGACUGUAGUAUUGGUGUGUACAUACAUAUUAAUACACUGGAAAAUCCAAUGUUUCCACACUGCUUCCGUUUCCAGACAAGCCCUAUUGCUGAUGUUACUCAACACACCCUGCAAAACGCUAUCUUUUUCCCUCAGGUUUGUUUGCAGUUUUUCUUGUCUGAUUUAAAGACAGCCAACCCAACACGCUUACUAUUUCUUAUUCUUCACUAGCACUUCUCUCACUCUUGUAAAUGUGCUGCUGAAAU